rnacentral:pre_miRNA from 1 species
GUUCUACUCCCUCCGUUUCAAAUUACUCGUCGCAGAAAUGGAUGUAUCUAGAACUAAAAUACAUCUAGAUACAUCCAUACCUGCGACAAGUAAUUCGGAACGGAGGGAGUACUAU